UUAACAGUCGGAUAUAUUUAUCGC
rnacentral:miRNA from 1 species